rnacentral:rRNA from 1 species
UGAUGCAGCCAUGCCGCGUGUGUGAAGAAGGCCUUCGGGUUGUAAAGCACUUUCAGCAGUGAGGAAGGUGGUGUCGUUAAUAGCGGCAUCAUUUGACGUUAGCUGCAGAAGAAGCACCGGCUAACUCCGUGCCAGCAGCCGCGGUAAUACGGAGGGUGCGAGCGUUAAUCGGAAUUACUGGGCGUAAAGCGCAUGCAGGUGGUUUGUUAAGUCAGAUGUGAAAAGCCCCGGGGCUCAACCUCGGAAUUGCAUUUGAAACUGGCAGACUAGAGUACUGUAGAGGGGGUAGAAUUUCAGGUGUAGCGGUGAAAUGCGUAGAGAUCUGAAGGAAUACCGGUGGCGAAGGCGGCCCCCUGGACAGAUACUGACACUCAGAUGCGAAAGCGUGGGUAGCAAACAGGAUUAGAUACCCUGGUAG